rnacentral:rRNA from 1 species
GUGGGAAAUUUUGGACAAUGGGCGCAAGCCUGAUCCAGCAAUGCCGCGUGCAGGAAGAAGGCCUUCGGGUUGUAAACUGCUUUUGUACGGAACGAAACGGUCCGGGUUAAUACCCUGGGCUAAUGACGGUACCGUAAGAAUAAGCACCGGCUAACUACGUGCCAGCAGCCGCGGUAAUACGUAGGGUGCAAGCGUUAAUCGGAAUUACUGGGCGUAAAGCGUGCGCAAGCGGUUUUGUAAGACAGGCGUGAAAUCCCCGGGCUCAACCUGGGAAUUGCGCUUGUGACUGCAAGGCUGGAGUGCGGCAGAGGGGGAUGGAAUUCCGCGUGUAGCAGUGAAAUGCGUAGAUAUGCGGAGGAACACCGAUGGCGAAGGCAAUCCCCUGGGCCUGCACUGACGCUCAUGCACGAAAGCGUGGGGAGCAAACAGGAUUAGAAACCCUAGUAGUCC